rnacentral:lncRNA from 1 species
AGUACAAAGAACAAUCUAAAGUGCUGUUAUUAUUAAGAAACAAAUCAGAGCAAUCUAAAGAUGUAGCAGUUGUUAAGAAACAACCAAAAACAGUAUUUCAAGUUAAAAAAGGACUCAUUUGAUACAUUUUUUAUAACUUAGGGACCAAAGAUUUACAUUUUUAAAAACGGGGACUAAACUGAACAUCCGCUUAUAACUUAGGGACCAAAAAGAGGUCUAAACCUAAAUUUACUGUCGCUAGUUGUGGAAAUAUUUUUUUUUGUGAGGAAAAUGUAAGAUUUUUACUGUUUUCUAGCAUAAGAAGUCACGUGAUCAAAACACACAAAGUUAAUUAUUCACACAUAAUAUAGUGGACAUGCUUAUGAAAGUCUUGUCAUUGUAACUAUCACCACUUACACUUAUAUCAUGCCGUUGUCACCCUUCUCAUUAGUAGUUACAGUAACAAUUGAAUUUCCUUUUGAAUUCUUCUUUGACUUCUGAUUAUGAUUCUCCACUCUGGAUAUUCUAU